AUCAGGCCUAGAGAGAAAGCAGCCAUUCCACGGGCGGACCUGGGCGGGCCUAGACUCUAGACCAGGGCCGCCGUCCGGGUCAUCGGCUGACUGUGCGUCGGAGGGGGGCGGCCUGAUAGCCAAACAUCGCGUCGCAUCCGACGGCGGCGGCGGGCGCGGAGGCCUGCCCGGGUAGCGAUGUAUAGAUUUCCAACCGCCUCGUUGAUCGCCGUCGCCAUUCACCAUUCACAACCGGACGGGCAAGGAGGCUACACGCGGGGGAUGAACGCGAUUAGAUGAGAAGGGAUAGGCUUGCCUUCUCUCGCAGAGUCAAACAAAUUUCUAUUUCUUCAGUGAUAUUGGUACGCUUAAGUUGUCCUAAACAGUUGUAUACUGGCUAAAGAAUACUGUUAUAUCUGUACAUACCCUGUGUUUUGGUACAAUAACUGUACCUUGUGACAGCAAAUUCGUGCACAUAGAAUGUUGGUUAAUCACAGCAUGAGCCUAGAAAUGCCGCUCUUGCUCUUACUCAUCCACAGCUUGCCACAACUGAAAGGGAUUUUUCGAUUCCGGUUCACGGGUCGCCUCCGAACUUGGCAGGCCGUACUGGAAUAGCGCACUUCCUUCUGCCAAGGCAUGCCUGACAAAAACAAACACUUGGUUAUUAGGAUUGUAGUGGCAAUAGGAUAGUGCAUUAUGAUAUUAGCAGCAACUUCUUGAGAGGCAGAAAAAAUUACAUCCUUUAUGACAAAUUCGGUUGUUUCUGCAUGGCAACUCCCAAGGCAGCUGCUGCCAGAGCCUCUGCAACCUUCAACGGGAUUCCCGUAGCUCGCAAACUCAAUAUCUGUGAUGUGCUUACCUUGCUGGCACCGGAGGCGUACUGCUGGGUGCUUUUUGCGUGACAAGAGUGACGGAGUAGAUAACUCAUUCACACUACUAUAUACUCUUGUAACUGACAUUGUAUUUACAGUUAUCUGUAGCGGGUCACCACCCAUUUCCUCGAUGAGGACGAGGGUGUUCUCUCCAGGUCUCAGAAAGUAUUGUGGGGUUUUGUAGGAGACCCAGUACCGUCCGAUGCUCUCUCCGUUGAUCCACACCUCACCCUUCCCCAUACUGCUGAGGUUCAGAGUGACUGGGUCACUCCCCCAUGGUGCGUCAAAUGUUGUCUGCAGCAAACAUGAACAAAUUGUCCCAACUGUCAGUUACCGUCCUGUGGAUUGAACAUGCGAUUGAAGUCUAUCAGGAGUUCAAGACUUAUGUGCAUUCGUUGUACCUUGUACCAUAUAAGUGGAAGAGGCAUGGGCUUAUCAAUGGCAGUCCAUUGAGCACGAGAUGACCCUUCAGUUCAUUGUUCAGAGAAUGUGAUUUCCGAUGUCCCUGUUGUAUGCUCACUUUACGAACUCCAAAGGUUCUUCGCUCCAUCUGUAUGCAGAGAAACUUGCGUGUUAGGCCAUUACCACUUGGGACGUGAAAGAUGCUCAGAAAGAAAAGCGGAAUGUUUGUUGCGCACCGAGAUGUCCAAUUUUCUGUCCAUAAAGCGGGCUUGUUAAGCGAAUUCGGCCCAAGAAAUGUUUCCCCGCAGAUGAGGCCAUUGCAGUUGACAUGGGAUGUUUGGCUUGAGUGAUCACGUCAUCCAUUAUGGGUUGGUCUAUCAUGGGAUGAUCCCUCUCAUUUAGUGGUAUGACUCAAUACCUCAUUUUAUAUUAUAAGCCCUAUGCUUAUGAAGGACAAGGUGGUGAUGGCCCGACCCAUUCCGUUCCAUAGCCAGUUCACCAUCCUGGUUCCUCAAACAAGGGAGUUAGGAUUACCUGGCCAAUUCACCACCCUGGUUCCUCAAACAAAACAGUCCCUAUAUAUUUUUAAUUUCUAGAUGCCUUUGCAGUUUUUUAUAUGAAAUGUACAUUAUUACUCUCACCGAAUAGAUUCUUUUCCAUCCACCCGCAAACAUGUAGCCGCACUCUAUUAAAAUGCACAAUGGAGCACAAAGUUCAGUUAACCCUACUAAACAACAACAAAUUCUCACCCAAUAGAUGACAUGUCGUUUCCACCUAUUUGUUACACUUGUAUGUGAGAGCUGAGAAUCACUGGGCAUAUCUUUUGUGCUUGCUUAAAAUGCAUCGUGAGACAGUUUGCUAUGCUAUUGUUCUGAAGUAGCGCAGUGUUUUACGAACUACAACUACGGAUGGAGAAAUUAUCCUGAGUAUAAGCUGCAGUUACAAGAUUAUGCCUCAAGGGUACAUGGUACUGGUACUGCCUUUGGUAGCGUUAUACCUUGAAGGGUUCAUUAUUGCUUCUGAAGGUAAUGUUUGGGACACCACGUAACCAAAAUGGCAGGGCUCUGCAUGAAUAAAGGAUUGGGUAAAGAUUUGUAUGUUCAGGACACCAAAGAAAUGAAACUCUUCCCAGCAUAUCAUGAUCUCAUACCCGUAUUUCCAUUCCGACUCGACGAAGGGACCAAUCCGGAGGCUUACAUAGAGGCCUUGAGCCUGGACUUCUCUGAUGAAUUUCACCAGGCUCAUGAACAUUCCAGAAGACGUAUGUUUGUAUGACAUCCAGGCCACCAUUCCUGGCGUUCUCAGCGAGUCUUGGCCACAUCUGUUAAUUGUAUUAUAAAUUAGUUUGAACGGAUGAAUCAAGUCUUCUGCUUCAUAUGAUUUCUUGCUAUAGCCUGUAUGUAAUUAUGUAUUUACUGUUACUAACCGAGCCACUAAAUUCAUAACUGACGGGAACUCUUAUACUGGCCAUCUGUUUAUCUGGUAAGUUGGAGGCGUGCUAUAGUCUAGCCUUCGUUCAAAA